rnacentral:lncRNA from 1 species
ACUAUAGAGAAGGAGGAGGGAGAUCCAUGCAUGCAGAGGAGGGCUGAGGAGAAAAGGUCAGGCAUCGGCCUGGCCCCAUACCACUGUUCGGUUUAAAUUCAACCCGUCACGUCAGCUGCAACAUCUUACCAACUUGCAACGAGGACAGCAAACCCAGUUGCUACGAAGCCAUAACAUCCAAGACAGCCGACCCAGCAAGCUUCCCUGUCUGACUGGAGAGAGGAGAUCUACCUUUGUUCAGGGUAGGCUGACCAACAAACCUCCUUCCUGUAAAUCAUGUGUGGAGCGAGUGGGAGGGAUGGCCUCUGCUGGGACCUUUAUCUCGGCUCUGUCUAUUCCCUGGUUGCCCUCCCU